rnacentral:rRNA from 1 species
AGAGUUUGAUCCUGGCUCANAACGAACGCUGGCGGCAGGCUUAACACAUGCAAGUCGANNNCCCCGCAAGGGGAGUGGCAGACGGGUGAGUAACGCGUGGGAAUCUACCGUACCCUACGGAAUAACGCAUGGAAACGUGUGCUAAUACCGUAUACGCCCUACGGGGGAAAGAUUUAUCGGGGUAUGAUGAGCCCGCGUUGGAUUAGCUAGUUGGUGGGGUAAAGGCCUACCAAGGCGACGAUCCAUAGCUGGUCUGAGAGGAUGAUCAGCCACAUUGGGACUGAGACACGGCCCAAACUCCUACGGGAGGCAGCAGUGGGGAAUAUUGGACAAUGGGCGCAAGCCUGAUCCAGCCAUGCCGCGUGAGUGAUGAAGGUCUUAGGAUUGUAAAGCUCUUUCACCGGAGAAGAUAAUGACGGUAUCCGGAGAAGAAGCCCCGGCUAACUUCGUGCCAGCCGCCGCGGUAAUAC